rnacentral:rRNA from 1 species
AAUCAACGCUGGCGGCGUGCCUAACACAUGCAAGUCGAGCGCGAAAGGGGAGCAAUCCCCAAGUAGAGCGGCGAACGGGUGAGUAACGCGUGGGUAAUCUGCCUCCGAGUGGGGAACAACACCGGGAAACUGGUGCUAAUACCGCAUGACAUCGUUGGACCUUCGGAUCUGACGAUCAAAGACCGGGGACCGCAAGGCCUGGCGCUUGGAGAGGAGCCCGCGUCCGAUUAGCUAGUUGGUGGGGUAAUGGCCCACCAAGGCUACGAUCGGUAGCCGGCCUGAGAGGGCGGACGGCCACACUGGGACUGAGACACGGCCCAGACUCCUACGGGAGGCAGCAGUGGGGAAUUUUUCGCAAUGGGCGAAAGCCUGACGAAGCAACGCCGCGUGGAGGAUGAAGGCC